rnacentral:sRNA from 1 species
CUUCAGACACUUUAGACACGUUCUUUCUUGGCUGUGCCACCAUCACACAUCAACUCAUUCUAAAAGGAACUAACUGCAUUGCCUUUUGGAACAGAUUUUCAACCACAGAAGAGUUGGCUUUACCUCCUAAUGACUGUUCAUGGUAUACUCGCUAAAUCCCAGGUUUCAAAAGCAAACUUGAAUCCAGGGUCACCAAAAAUCCAAGAGAAAUGAGAGCAUCAAGUGGUCUCAGGAACCAUACAUGCAUGUGAAAUCUUCCUAUGACCACACCAUGAACUCCUAAUGACCCAGAAAGCCACUGAGAAGCAAAACCUGGAGUCAACAUUCCAUAAUCGUGAUAGACGCCAUUACUGGAUUGAGACAAAAAGUCUUGUGUGUUGCACGGUGCGCCUGUAUCAUCUACUCCUCCGUAUCUACUGCAAUGCCCUCCUCCUGCCAGAGGAAUUAUUUUCCAGUUGAUCAGCCACUUCAUACCAUCUAUUUUCAAACGGAUCCCAUCUCUUUCUUGUUUCUGAGAAUUUCCAUCACACCUCUGCCGAAGCGUGUUCUCAGCUGAUUUUCGUGGCGGGAAUGUAGUCUCUCUGGGACAUCCUGAUCCUUCCUUCUGAUGGUCUCCUUCCAUAGCUUGUGAACUUUUCUCUUUGGGUUUUUCUUGAGGGAAGGCUGGGGCACACUCUGAGCUAUGGACGCCCUCCUUCAGGCACAGGGCACACUCUGAGCUAUGGACGCCCUCCUUCAGGCACACCCGUUGAGUGUUUGCAGCUAUGGCUUGGUGGGUCCCAUUGUACUUAUUACCUAGUCAAUAGCUCAGGUCUCCACUGCUCCACUCAGCCAUGGUCUUCCCGGUAAACCUGAUUCCACCACAGGCCAGAGCAAUCAGUCAACUUUAAGGAGGGGUGAGGGAGGGAUGGCAUUUCAUCUUAUGCUUGAUAAAUCCAUCAGCACAGGAAGUCAAGGCAGGGACCUGAAGGCAAGAUCUAAAGCAGAGACCAGCUUGCCUUGCAGCCAAUUCUCUGCCAGAACUACACAAUCUGCCUUCUGACAAACAGUUUGAAAUCAUUUAAAGUUUCCAUCCUAGCCAGGCAUGGUGAUUCACGCUGAUAAGCCUUACACUAAAGCUGGGGUAAGAGGAUCACCCCAGGUGAUUCAAGGCCAGGUAGGUACACAGGGUGAGUUUGGGAUCAACUAGGGCUGCAGGGUGAGCUACUGUUUAAAAUAACAAUGAAACAAAUAAAGAUACAAAUGUAUGCAGAAGUGAAAGGAGGGAA